AACGAACGCUGGCGGCAUGCCUAACACAUGCAAGUCGAACGAGACCUUCGGGUCUAGUGGCGCACGGGUGCGUAACGCGUGGGAACCUGCCCUUGGGUUCGGAAUAACUCCCCGAAAGGGGUGCUAAUACCGGAUAAUGUCUUCGGACCAAAGAUUUAUCGCCUUUGGAUGGGCCCGCGUUGGAUUAGCUAGUUGGUAGGGUAAAAGCCUACCAAGGCGACGAUCCAUAGCUGGUCUGACAGGAUGAUCAGCCACACUGGGACUGAGACACGGCCCAGACUCCUACGGGAGGCAGCAGUGGGGAAUAUUGGACAAUGGGCGAAAGCCUGAUCCAGCAAUGCCGCGUGAGUGAUGAAGGCCUUAGGGUUGUAAAGCUCUUUUACCCGGGAUGAUAAUGACAGUACCGGGAGAAUAAGCUCCGGCUAACUCCGUG
rnacentral:rRNA from 1 species